AGCUUCAACUCAUAUCCACAAACGUUCAAGUCAAAUUCUAAAACUUCAAUUUAUAAACUAAAAUUCAAAGACACAAACCAAAAUUUCAAUUCAUAUCCUCAAGGUUCAACGUAUAUCCACAAAAGUUCAAGUCAAAUUAUAAAAUUUCAAUAUAUAAACUAAAAUUCCAAUACAUAAACCAAAAUUUCAAUUCAUAUCCUAAAGGUUCAACUCAAAUCCACAAAAGUUCAAGUCAAAUCCCAAAAUUUCAAUUUAUCAACUAAAAUUCCAAUAUAUAAACCAAAAUUUCAAUUCAUAUCCUAAAGGUUCAAUUCAUAUCCACAAAAGUUCAAGUCAAAUCCUAAAAUUUCAAUUUAUAAACUAAAAUUCUAAUACAUAAACCAAAAUUUCAAUUCAUAUCCUAAAGGUUCAACUCAUAUCCACAAAAGUUUAAGUCAAAUCCCAAAAUUUCAAUUUAUAAACUAAAAUUCAAAGACAUAAACCAAAAUUUCAAUUCAUAUCCUAAAGC
rnacentral:lncRNA from 1 species